AUUACAAAAGUAAAUAUAUAAUAUAAUAUUUGUUGCUGCCUUGUUCUAUAUAAAUGUUUCUAACAUGCAGGUAACAUUUAUAUAUGUAUUAGUUUGAAUAAAUCAUUUUAAUAAAGUUACAUUAUAGGCAGGAAUGUUUGACUGGAAAUAUAAACGAUGUUGUACAUAAUGCAGAUAGCUUAGGCAAAAAAGAGAUUGGUGAAAUGGAGAAUGAGACUAACUAGGGUGAAAAAAAAUGAAUAUUAAUAUGUGAAUGGUACUUUGUUUAACAUCUACCUGUUUCUACAGAUACAGUACAGACGCAUUU